CUGCAGGGAGGCAUGUUCCUUAGUAAAGUGCUGUUACAGUGGAUUUAUUUUCUGCUCCAUCCUUCCUUUAGGGGGAAGCAGGGAUUGAUGGAAUGAAAGGAGAGAAGGGUGCCCAGGGUGAAAAAGGAGACAGAGGGCCACUGGGAUUACCCGGUGCUUCAGGUUUAGACGGCAGGCCUGGACCACCGGGCACUCCAGGACCAAUUGGGGUUUCGGGACCAGCAGGACCAAAAGGAGAAAGGGUGAGUUUGCUUCAGAACUGAUCAAUGCUCUGUAGUUUCU
rnacentral:lncRNA from 1 species